rnacentral:snRNA from 1 species
AGAUGUGAAGAUGACCUGGUGGCAGCCUCUUUCCCACUGAUAACCAGGGUUUAUUCAGUUGUUCUGACUGUCCAGACUGGGCUGCUCCUUUCUCCUUUACCAUUUCAGGAAAGUCCCUCCUGAAAUUUCAUUCCCAGCAGAAAAGGGUGACCUUCUCAGAAGAAGGUGGCUUUGCUCCUUUAAAGUGGGA